rnacentral:pre_miRNA from 1 species
UUGUCACAUGGAGUUCUCCUCAAAUCACUUCAGUUGCUAGCUUCUGCCUCAUUGUUGCAUUGGCACUAUUUUAAAGUGUGCUUUGCAGGGAUAAGAGUAUGCAUGGUGAAGUGUUUGGGGGAACUCUGGGUGGCUA